rnacentral:rRNA from 1 species
UGAGCAAUCUGCCCUUCUCAUCGGAAUAAGCGUUGGAAACGACGUCUAAUGCCGAAUACGACCUCCUUUCGCAUGAUCGGAGGUGGAAAGCUCCGGCGGAGAAGGAUGAGCUCGCGGCCUAUCAGCUAGUUGGUGUGGGUAAUGGCCCACCAAGGCGACGACGGGUAGCCGGCCUGAGAGGGUGACCGGCCACACUGGGACUGAGACACGGCCCAGACCUCCUACGGGAGCA